UGGGCCAUAGCCAAGCGGUAAGGCAUCGGGUUUUGGUCCCGUGAUUCCCAGGUUCGAAUCCUGGUGGCCCAGCCA
rnacentral:tRNA from 1 species